rnacentral:tRNA from 1 species
GACUCAGACGGUAAAGAAUCUGCCUGCUAUGCAGGAGACCCAGGUUCAAUCCCUGGGUCA